CUCCAAUAGGUCGCUCCCUCGGCCGCUCCGCCUCCUCCGGCGAGCGGCUCUGACGUCAAUUCCGGCAGCUCCCGAGUACGAACCCUCUGCCUUGCACGGAGCUUAUUUCCUGGGUGUGGAAGUUUGUUUUACUGGACCGUGACCUACCUGGGAAAUCUUUUAUCCUUGCAGUUUCCCCGCUAUGGGUCUGGAGUGUCUCCCACACAGUUUUCGAACUUUGCCCAAAGCCUUGUGAGCGGCUUACCUAGAGCCUCAGGCCAGGAGUCGUCAAAUGUGAAGGGGGCACUUCUCUGUGAGAAUCUUUUCCUGCAAUGUGACAGUGACAUUCCUUCCAUGGAGUGGUAGUGUUCAUAGUCCCUGCCUUGAAUCUGGUCAAGUUUGUGACAGUGGUGGAAAUAAUAAUAUGUGAAUUCUGAGGCUAAGUUAUAAAAGGGACUAUAGCUUCUUAGCUAGCACUCUGGAAGACAUGACUUUGCAAGUCUGACUGCAGUGUAAGGAGUCCAAAGAUGCUAUGGUGUGAAGAAAGAUCAUAUGGAGGUGUUCUGGAUAUCCCAAGCUGAGUUCUCAGCCAACAGUCUGCAUCAACCAGCAAGCUUGUGUUUGGAGCCACCUCUAGAAGAUUCCUGCUUCCUGGAGGCAGGCUACCCUCCAGCCUAAUUCACAUUUUCCCUGAACAUAAUAAAAUGUUUGUUUUCACUUCAAA